rnacentral:rRNA from 1 species
AGUGAACGCUGGCGGUAGGCCUAACACAUGCAAGUCGAACGGCAGCACAGUAAGAGCUUGCUCUUACGGGUGGCGAGUGGCGGACGGGUGAGGAAUACAUCGGAAUCUACUUUUUCGUGGGGGAUAACGUAGGGAAACUUACGCUAAUACCGCAUACGACCUACGGGUGAAAGCAGGGGAUCUUCGGACCUUGCGCGAUUGAAUGAGCCGAUGUCGGAUUAGCGAGUUGGCGGGGUAAAGGCCCACCAAGGCGACGAUCCGUAGCUGGUCUGAGAGGAUGAUCAGCCACACUGGAACUGAGACACGGUCCAGACUCCUACGGGAGGCAGCAGUGGGGAAUAUUGGACAAUGGGCGGAAGCCUGAUCCAGCCAUACCGCGUGGGUGAAGAAGGCCUUCGGGUUGUAAAGCCCUUUUGUUGGGAAAGAAAAGCAGCAGGUUAAUACCCCGCUGUUCUGACGGUACCCAAAGAAUAAGCACCGGCUAACUUCGUG